rnacentral:lncRNA from 1 species
AUCCACUUUGAAAACAGGAGACAUCCGCGGCAGGUGGGGCUUGCAAAUGAUAUUUCUAAUCAGAUGUUCAUCCAGAAAGUAAUUAACUUUAGGAAAGUAAAGGCCCUAGAGGCUUCUGAAAAGAUUUCCUUACUCUCAAUUCUCCCUGAGCAUUGCUUGAUAUUUGCCUCCCCCUGAGCUGUAGAGCCCAAAGGGAAGAUGAGAAGCAAGUCCUGCUGAUAUGGAUGCGGAUCACAUUUGCGUGACUCAGAGCUGUGGGGACAGUGGUUCUUUCAACUGCUCCUUAUGUGAAGAAUUUCUCCAGGAUUCAUCAUUCCAUCUGGAUCUGUAUAAAUAAAGCUGAAGUUCUGGUCAUGACCACUCCCUGGAUCACUCCUGCCCCUGUGUUCCUGGAGCCUCAGAGUUUUGCGUCACAUGAGCUCCCAAGCUCUUCCUUUCUCAUUCAUCUGCUUUGGUUCAUUCUUGUUGAGACUCACUAUAAGGAAAGCACCUCAUCCUGCUACAGCUGGGUACAGAACUCUGAUGUCUUCAUAAAAGUUGCUGCCUCUUGGGAGCUGUGAGCAUUGGGAUCAGCCAGUAUGGCACAUUUGCUGCUACCUCAGGGCGUGAGAGCAUGCUAAGCUCCACAUGAAGGCCUCACUUUCCCACACUAUCUCCACUGAGCACUGAAGUGAUGAUGUUGUGUCCCUGUGUCUCAGGGGUAAAUGGAGGCAGCCUUUUUCUUUUCAGGGCUGACACAAAAAGUCAAUGGGGCUUGGGGAUGAAUAACAACAAAGGACAGGCCCUCUUGCAUGAGGUCAGUCCCUCCUGCUCCUGCCCUCAAAUGUAUAUGCAAAACUAUUUUCCUUGUUCUGUGCAUGAGGUCACUGUCUAUGGUCCCAUUGAUAUGGUUUGGCUAUGGACUGACCUAAAUCUCAUCUUGAAUUGUAAUAAUCCCCAUAUGUCAAGGGUGGGGUCAGGUGGAGGUAAUGGAAUCACAGGGGGUGGCUUCCCCCAUACUAUUCUCAUGAUAGUGAAAAAGUCUCACGAAAUCUGAUAGUUUUAUAAAUGGGAGUUUCCCUGCACAAGCUCUCUUGCCUGCUGCCAUGUAAGACAUGAUUUUGCUCCUCAUUUGCCUUCCAUAAUGAUUGUGAGACCUCCCCAGCCAUGUGGAACUGUGAGUCAAUUAAACCUCUUUCCUUUAUAAAUUACCCAGUGUUGGGUAUAUCUUUAUUAGCAGUGUGGGAACAGGCUAAUACAGUAAUUGGUACCAGUAGAGUGGGAUUCUGCUGUAAAGAUACCCCAAAAAUGUGGAGGUGACUAUGGAACUGGGUAACAGGCAGAAGUUGGAACAGUUUGGAGGACUCAGAAGACAGGAAAAUGUGGAAAAGUUUGGAGCUUUAUAGAGACUCGGAGGGCUCAUAAGCCAGGAAAAUACGGGAAAGUUUGGAAUUUCCUAGAGACUUGUUGAAUGGUUUUGACCAAAAUGCUGAUAGUGAUAUGGAAAAUAAAGUCCAGGUUGAGGAGGUCUCAGAUGGAGAUGAAGAGCAAAGGUAACUCUUGUCAUGCUUUAGCAAAAAGACUGGCAGCAUUUUGCUUCUGCCAUAGAGAUCUGUGGAACUUGGAACUUGAGAAAGAUGAUUUAGGCAUCCGGUGGAAGAAAUUUUUAAAUAGCAAGGCAUUCAAGAUGUGACUUGGGUGCUGUUAAAAGCAUUCAGUUUUCUGUAUUCACAAAGAUAUGGUUUGGAAUCAGAACUUAUGCUUAAAAGGGAAGCAGAGCAUAAAAAUUUAGAAAAUUUGCAGGCUGAUGAUGCAAUAGAAAAGAAAAACCCAUUUUCUGAGGAGAAAUUCAAGCCUGCUGCAGAAAUUUGCGUAAAUAAUGAGGAGAAAAAUGUUAAUCACCAAGAAAAUGCAGAAAAUGUCUCCAGGGUAUCACAGAGAGAUUUGCAGCAGCCCCUCCCAUCACAGGCCUAGAGGCCUAGGAGGAAAAAAUGGUUUCGUGGGCUGGGCCCAUGGCCUCGCUGCUCUGUGCAGCCUAGGGACUUGGUGCUCUGUGUCCCAGCCACUCUAGCUGUGGCUAAAAGAGGACAAGGUACAGCUCAGGCUGUGGCUUCAGAGGGUGGAAGCCCCAAGCCUUGGCAGCUUCCAUGUGGUGUUGAGCUUGUGGGUGCACAGAAGUUAGGAAUUGAGGUUUGGAAACCUCUGCCUAGUUUCAGAAGAAGUAUGGAAGCACCUGGAUGUCCAGGCAGAAGUUUGCCGUAGGGGUAGGGUCCUCAUGGAGAACCUCUGCUAGGGCUGUGUGAAAGAGCAAUGUGGGGUGGGGUCCCCCAGACAGAGUCCCUACUUGGGCACUGCCUAGUGGAGCUGUGAGAAGAAGCCCACCAUCCCGCAGACUCCAGAGUGGUAGGUCCACCAAUAGCUUGCACCGUGCACCUGGAAAAGUGGCAGACACUCAAUGCCAGCCCAUGAAAGCAACCAGGAGGGAGGCUGUACCCUACAAAGCCACAGAAUGGAGCUGCCCAAGACCAUGGGAACACACCUCUUGCAUCUGUAUGACCUGGAUGUGAGAAAUGGAGUCAAAGAAGAUCAUUUUGGAGCUUUAAGAUUUGACUGCCCCCCUGGAUUUCAAACUUGGAUGGGGUCUGUAGCUCCUUCGUUUUGGCCAGUUUCUUCCAUUUGGAACAGCUGUAUUUGACCAAUGACAGUACCCUCAUUAUAUCUAGGAAGCAACUUACUUGGUUUUGAUUUUACAGGCUCAUAGGUGGAAGAGAGUUUCCUGGUUUCAGAUGAGACUUUGGACUGGGACUUUUGGGUUAAUGCUGUAAUGAGUUAAGACUUUGGGGGACAGUUGGGAAGGCAAGAUUGUUUUUUGAAAUGUGAAAGUGACAUGAGAUUUGGGAGGGUCUGGGGGCAGAAUGAUGUGGUUUGGGUGUUUCCCGACCCAAAUUUCAUCUUGAAUUGUAAUAAUCCACACAUGUCAAGAACAGGGCCAGGUGAAGAUACUUGAAUCAUGGGGGUGAUUUCCUCCAAACUGUUCUCAUGGUAGUGAAUAAAUCUCAAGAGAUCUGAUGGUUUUAUAAAUGGGAUUUCCUCUGCACAAACUUUCUUUCCUGUCACCAUGUAAGACGUGACUUUGCUCAUCAUUCAUCUUCCACCAUGUUUGUAAGGCCUCCCCAACUAUAUGGAACUGUGAGUCAAUUAAACCUCUUUCCUUUAUAAAUUACCCAGUUUUGGGUAUGUGUUUAUUAGCAGCAUGAGAACAGACUAAUACACUCAACCACCUGCUCAAACAUAUCUGACCCAGUCUGAACUCAAGGUAGGACCCCCAAUACACAUGAAAAGCUUUGUAGGCCUUGUCACCUUCACAUUACCUUACCUUGACUCUGAACCAGGAAUUAAUUACCAUGAAAUAAAGGAUGAUGCAAAUGUUGAUGUUGGGUCCAAUCUGUAGUAGUGACAGGAAGUGCUCCACAAGAACACAUAAGUAGGAGUGAAAA